GAAAUAGUCAACUGGAUGGCCAAAAUCAGUGGAUCCAUCCCACUUAUAUUUGCGAAUGUCGAAAAUUCUGGCAAAUUCAUCUGAUCCAGCAACAGCAAACAAAUAGGGUUUUCUUGGAUCUAUCGUAAUCGCAUUUAGAUGAAGUACAGACAUAUAUCUCCUCAUCCGCAGGGGUUGGCAAGUAAAAAGCUCUGUAGCAGUGUCUGUUCUCAAAUCUAUCUGUAAGAACACAUUGAAUCAAACCAUUUAGCCAU
rnacentral:misc_RNA from 1 species